rnacentral:rRNA from 1 species
AUUGAACGCUGGCGGCAUGCCUUACACAUGCAAGUCGAACGGUAACAGGUCUUCGGAUGCUGACGAGUGGCGAACGGGUGAGUAAUGCAUCGGAACGUGCCCAGUAGCGGGGGAUAGCCCGGCGAAAGCCGGAUUAAUACCGCAUACGACCUGAGGGGGAAAGGGGGGGAUCGCAAGACCUCUCGCUAUUGGAGCGGCCGAUGUCAGAUUAGCUAGUUGGUGGGGUAAAGGCCUACCAAGGCAACGAUCUGUAGUUGGUCUGAGAGGACGACCAGCCACACUGGGACUGAGACACGGCCCAGACUCCUACGGGAGGCAGCAGUGGGGAAUUUUGGACAAUGGGCGCAAGCCUGAUCCAGCAAUGCCGCGUGCAGGAAGAAGGCCUUCGGGUUGUAAACUGCUUUUGUCAGGGAAGAAAUCUUCUGGGUUAAUACCUCGGGAGGAUGACGGUACCUGAAGAAUAAGCACCGGCUAACUACGUGCCAGCCGCCGCCGUAACAC